rnacentral:sRNA from 1 species
GAUUAGCAGCUGCGUUAAGGAUAGCAGCGGCAUCCUCUCCUUUGCUCUUUGUUGGGAGUAAAGGAGAGAUAUAGCGAAUAGCCUGACCCUUU